UCGUGUCGAACGGAUGAAGUGUUGGCGUUCUCCGUUGUUUGAAAUUAAAACAGUUCGAUUGGCGGAUCAAAUGUUUGGCAAUUGUUGCCGUAUUCGGUUUUGUUUCCACGACAGGAGGCCCGAAUUCAAAGCCCUCCCCAAUGGAAUCGAACCGAAAAUUUUCUACGGGAAUGAUUGUGUACUGCCUCGGUCAUCGCCACAGAAAAUUCGUGUGCCAAGUUGGAGCCCGACCGUCGCUUGCUGAUAUGAUCGACGAUUUUAAGUGGAAAGAAUGCCCAACCCCAGGCCGCGACGGAUCAUUCUUGGGCGCUGAUUUUCGUGACGUCGGUGCUAGGAAGUUGGCGAAAACGUCAGCCGCGUACGGCAGGAGGUUAGGGAACCCCGCGAGCAGCAAGAACGCCGGAACUAAGGACCAUGGGUGCGUUUGUGAAAUGCCCUUCGGAAUUUCCAGACAUAAAAAAAUAGUGUAUUGUAUAGAGUGUUUUAAUUGAGAUGGUGUAUUAGUGAAUAUGAACAGCGAUUGUGAAAAUAAAAUUUUAAAAGAA